rnacentral:rRNA from 1 species
CAGUCGAAGGUAGGAUAAGUGACUGGGGUGAAGUCGUAACAAGGUAGCCGUAUCGGAAGGUGCGGCUGGAUCACCUCCUUU